rnacentral:antisense_RNA from 1 species
UUCUACGGGCGGGCCUUGGUGGGGGAGCCGAAAGGCUCGCCGGUUGUGGUUUCAGUGCCGGUCUGCGAACCCUGUCAUGUGCCCGCUCACCUCU